AGCAGCCGCGGUAAUUCCAGCUCCAAUAGCGUAUAUUAAAGUUGUUGCAGUUAAAAAGCUCGUAGUUGAAUUUCGGGGUUAGUAGGUUGGUCAUGCCUCUGGUAUGUACUGGUCUCACUGAUUCCUCCUUCCUGAUGAACCUUAAUGCCAUUAAUUUGGUGUUUUGGGGAAUUUGGACUGUUACUUUGAAGAAAUUAGAGUGUUUAAAGCAAGCUAACGCUUGAAUACAUUAGCAUGGAAUAAUGAAAUAGGACGUUCGAUCCUAUUUUGUUGGUUUCUAGGAUUGACGUAAUGAUUAAUAGGGAUAGUUGGGGGCAUUAGUAUUCAAUUGUCAGAGGUGAAAUUCUUGGAUUUAUUGAAGACUAACUACUGCGAAAGCAUUUGCCAAGGAUGUUUUCAUUAAUCAAGAACGAAAGUUAGGGGAUCGAAGACGAUCAGAUACCGUCGUAGUCUUAACCAUAAACUAUGCCGACUAGGGAUCGGAUGAUGUUAAUUUUUAAUGACUCAUUCGGCGCCUUAC
rnacentral:rRNA from 1 species